ACCUAUAUGUCCCCUAACCAAGA
rnacentral:snRNA from 1 species